rnacentral:rRNA from 1 species
AUUGAACGCUGGCGGCAGGCUUAACACAUGCAAGUCGAGCGGAUGAAGGUAGCUUGCUACCGGAUUCAGCGGCGGACGGGUGAGUAAUGCUUAGGAAUCUGCCUAUUAGUGGGGGACAACGUUCCGAAAGGAGCGCUAAUACCGCAUACGUCCUACGGGAGAAAGCAGGGGACCUUCGGGCCUUGCGCUAAUAGAUGAGCCUAAGUCGGAUUAGCUAGUUGGUAGGGUAAAGGCCUACCAAGGCGACGAUCUGUAGCGGGUCUGAGAGGAUGAUCCGCCACACUGGGACUGAGACACGGCCCAGACUCCUACGGGAGGCAGCAGUGGGGAAUAUUGGACAAUGGGGGGAACCCUGAUCCAGCCAUGCCGCGUGUGUGAAGAAGGCCUUUUGGUUGUAAAGCACUUUAAGCGAGGAGGAGGCUACCUAGAUUAAUACUUUAGGAUAGUGGACGUUACUCGCAGAAUAAGCACCGGCUAACUCUGUGCCAGCAGCCGCCGUAAGAC